rnacentral:rRNA from 1 species
GAGUAAUGUCUGGGAAACUGCCUGAUGGAGGGGGAUAACUACUGGAAACGGUGGCUAAUACCGCAUAACGUCGCAAGACCAAAGAGGGGGACCUUCGGGCCUCUUGCCAUCAGAUGUGCCCAGAUGGGAUUAGCUUGUUGGUGAGGUAACGGCUCACCAAGGCGACGAUCCCUAGCUGGUCUGAGAGGAUGACCAGCCACACUGGAACUGAGACACGGUCCAGACUCCUACGGGAGGCAGCAGUGGGGAAUAUUGCACAAUGGGCGCAAGCCUGAUGCAGCCAUGCCGCGUGUAUGAAGAAGGCCUUCGGGUUGUAAAGUACUUUCAGCGGGGAGGAAGGUGUUGUGGUUAAUAACCGCAGCAAUUGACGUUACCCGCAGAAGAAGCACCGGCUAACUCCGUGCCAGCAGCCGCGGUAAUACGGAGGGUGCAAGCGUUAAUCGGAAUUACUGGGCGUAAAGCGCACGCAGGCGGUCUGUCAAGUCGGAUGUGAAAUCCCCGGGCUCAACCUGGGAACUGCAUUCGAAACUGGCAGGCUUGAGUCUUGUAGAGGGGGGUAGAAUUCCAGGUGUAGCGGUGAAAUGCGUAGAGAUCUGGAGGAAUACCGGUGGCGAAGGCGGCCCCCUGGACAAAGACUGACGCUCAGGUGCGAAAGCGUGGGGAGCAAACAGGAUUAGAUACCCUGGUAGUCCACGCCGUAAACGAUGUCUACUUGGAGGUUGUGCCCUUGAGGCGUGGCUUCCGGAGCUAACGCGUUAAGUAGACCGCCUGGGGAGUACGGCCGCAAGGUUAAAACUCAAAUGAAUUGACGGGGGCCCGCACAAGCGGUGGAGCAUGUGGUUUAAUUCGAUGCAACGCGAAGAACCUUACCUGGUCUUGACAUCCACGGAAGAAUUCAGAGAUGGAUUUGUGCCUUCGGGAACCGUGAGACAGGUGCUGCAUGGCUGUCGUCAGCUCGUGUUGUGAAAUGUUGGGUUAAGUCCCGCAACGAGCGCAACCCUUAUCCUUUGUUGCCAGCGAUUCGG